AGCAGCCGCGGUAAUUCCAGCUCCAAUAGCGUAUAUUAAAGUUGUUGCAGUUAAAAAGCUCGUAGUUGAAUUUCGGGAUCAAUACGUUGGUCGUGCUUUCGGGUACGUACUGGCGUCAUUGGUUUCUCUCUUCUGACGAACCAUGAUGUCAUUAGUUUGGUGUUAUGGGGAGUUAGGACUGUUACUUUGAAAAAAUUAGAGUGUUUAAAGCAGGCUCGCGCUUGAAUACAUUAGCAUGGAAUAAUGAAAUAGGAUGUUUGACCCUAUUUUGUUGGUUUCUAGGAUCGACGUAAUGAUUAAUAGGGAUAGUUGGGGGCAUUAGUAUUCAAUUGUCAGAGGUGAAAUUCUUGGAUUUAUUGAAGACUAACUACUGCGAAAGCAUUUGCCAAGAAUGUUUUCAUUAAUCAAGAACGAAAGUUAGGGGAUCGAAGACGAUCAGAUACCGUCGUAGUCUUAACCAUAAACUAUGCCGACUAGGGAUCGGAUGAUGUUAUUUUUAAUGACUCAUUCGGCGCCUUAC
rnacentral:rRNA from 1 species